CAGAGUCAUGGAGUGGCUGGAUGUUUCCUUUUCGGAAGAGGUAGUAACAACAACAACAAAAGAUGACCCGAAGCGCACAGUCGACAUGCCCUGACAACUGGCAUCCGCUGAGGAGAAGGGGAAGGGAAUCGUUCCAGUGAUGAUUACUAUGAAGAUGCAGCGGAAAAAGAAGAUCAAUACACUUAUGAGAUACCUACUGUUGCAUUCAACUGACACCCACAGAAACGUUACGAACUUGAUCUUAUUUCAUGCAGUCCAAUAAAUGAGGCUUCUUAUCGAGUUCUUCUACCACAUAUGGUGGCACGCAUUUUUGUAUUGACAGAGAAUUUAAAUCAAUAAAAACAACAAUAUA